GACGCGUUGAAAGGGGAGAUGGAUGCAGAUAAGACGGGACCACGUUUCCCUGCAGGGACAUCAGUAACCACACCUUUAAGCUGGAGGGUCAUCCCAGUAUUGGUCUCACAAGCAAUACUUCCUUCGAUUGACAGGAGAAGCAGAUUCCAUUUCUUCGAGCUGACGUGAAGAGCAAUGUUCCAGGGGACAGCACACGCUGUCGACUCCGAUACCUCAGACACACAAACACACACACACACACACACACACAUACACACCCAGACAGACACACACACACACACUUACACACACAUGCUCACGAGCGUGCAAGCGCGUGUGUGUCAGUUUGUGUGUGUGUCUUUGUGUAUGUGUGUGUAUGCAAUGCAUGUGUGUACGCGCACAUGCCAAUGCCCUCUUCCUCUGCAGCAAAUGCCAACAAAGACCAAUGUGUCGGCUCCAUGUGCGAACGCCAUCCAUGAGAAGAGAGGAUGGCAAUUAGCCAUGCUAGGGGCCCCUGGAGACAGCUGAGCAGCUUCUGGGGGCCCGGCUCACGCGACUCCCUCACGUCCAAGGGGGUCGUCGGGGGAUAUAAGAGGCCAUCGGUUAUCUUCAUGUGUAUGUGUCUACAUAACCUAUUUUUACUGUCAAUGCCUAUAAGCCUCUGGGGUGGUAGGAUAUUCUUCUGGAGAUGAAGUGAAGCACCAUGGGAGUUGCAGUCAUUG
ensembl:lncRNA